rnacentral:tRNA from 1 species
GGGGCCUUAGCCCAGCUGGGAGAGCGCCUGCUUUGCACGCAGGAGGUCAGCGGUUCGAUCCCGCUAGGCUCCACCA